rnacentral:rRNA from 1 species
UUUUAUAUUAUAAUAUAAUUGAGGAUAUAUGUAAAAUAAAUUUAAAAUUAUUUAAAAUAUUUAAUUGGGGUGAUUGAAAAAUUUAAAUAACUUUUUUUUUUAUUUUACAUUAAUAGGUGAAUUAAUGAUCCAUUUUUAGUGAUUAAAAGAAAAA